rnacentral:lncRNA from 1 species
GAGGGACUGAGGAGGAGGAGGAGGAAGAAGAGGAGGGAGAAGGCGCGCUUUNCCACAAACAUUUAGAAAAGAAAAAUCCGGCGGCAAGGAAAGAACCGGAAAGCAAACGCGCGGCUGACUGCCCAUCCAGACGCCCCGCGGAAAGCGCCGAUCGCCCGCUGCCCGGCCCAUCUCUCCGCGCUCCAGGCGCUUCUUCCUUACCUGCGAUCUCCUGAUAGGGGAUGUUGAGCAGGCUGAAUCCCUUGGUUUUGUACGCCUCCCUCACUUCGCCGCAGCUCCGAGCUCUCACCACGUCAGCCGCUCCGGCGCCGAGGGAGAGCAGCAACAGCCCGAGGAUCGCCCAAAGCAGCGCCCCGAUCCAAGGAACCAUGGUGCACAAGGAAAGGUGCAGGAGGAGGAGGGGGGAGAAGAGAGACCCCUCCUCCUCCCCCAAAAAUCCACUUGCGGAGUAAAUCCCAAGGAGUCGUCUUCCAAAAGAAGAAAAGCUUUCCAGUGCCCAGCGCGAUUCCAAACAGAGCCCACCCCUGUGGGGAGCAACAGCGGCAACCAAGGAGACACCCCCUCCCUCCCUCCCUCCCUCCACGUAAGAGCCCAGGCAAACUUUGCGAAGCCGACUGGGGAAGACGAUGAGCCCAGCAGCGACUCCCUCCCGCCCCUUCUCUGCCCGCCCUCCUUCCCCUCCCUCUCCUGCUUGGCCGGUCCGGUGAAAGUCCAGCGGCGGGGCUCAGAGCCGCCGCGGCGGGGGGGACAUCGGAGGCUUCCUGAGGACUUGCCUAUUCCUUUCCACCUCAGCACAAUGUUGGACCCUUUGUAAGUCAUGUUGCCUUAAAAUGAAUUGCAGGUUCAUGCCAUUGAAAACUCCAGCCAAUGAAUUUGCUACAAUGAUAGAUGACAAUACAGUGAUCUCACCUGACAAUCACCAUAAGAAGCCACCUUAGAUCAGGGAUUUAAUCAUCUAUGAUAAUUACUAUUACUACUACCUACUCUGACUCAAGCAAAAUCCACACUGCACAUUUAUGAUGGCAUGAAGGAUCCUGAACAGUGUGGGGAUCACAUUUUUCCACAUCCAUCCUGCUGCAGAGGGGUGGAAAGUGUCAUCAGAAGCACUUUUCAUGCCAGGUGUGAACAAGCACUCUGAUGGUGCUUUUGGCAAUUGUCUUUCACCAUAAUUGCUUGUGGAUGGAUCGUGGUAGCUGUAAUGACAUACCUGUACUGCUCUUUGCCCACGGCUAUUUAGCAGGGUGCUGAAAAUGGCUGAAUUCCAGGGAUAUUUCUUGUGCUUCUUUUUUUCUACAACCAUUAGAAAUAUAAAAGCCAGGAAGUUCUAGGACUAGAGCAAGUGAUCCAGCUCUAAAAGCAGCCAAAUUUACUGGCAUGCAGAUCCUCCUGGCUCACUGCUGAACUUUCAGGAUCUUAAGAUACAGAAGUUUCCCACUACUUUCUAUUUUGUUUUUUUNCCCCCUUAAACUAGAGAUGUCUAUAUUCUAACAGUGCGUUUUGGUAUGACCUCAAACUACUUACUUGAUUUUUACAAGACCACAUUGAUCUAUUUGUUGUUGUCUACCACUUAAGUUGUGACCGACUCCUGGUUGACUGCAGAGAUACAGAAAUGGUUUACCAUUGCCUAUGUCUAGAGGCUGGGGAUCAAACUGACAACUGUCUGCUUUCCAGGCAGUUUCUCUACCACUGAACUGCAGCCACUCCCAAUCUAAUAUAUAGUAAAUGUGCAGUUUCCUAGUUGUAUUCAUAAAGAAUGGAUAAACAAACAUUUUUCUCCUUCUCUACAUUUUACCCCUUAAUAGCAGAGAAACUUUGAAAAACCUUGAUUUUAGGGAUCUUCUGAUCCCCUCUCCCCAUCAUUUCUACAGGAAUAUCCACCUUUAUGCAUUCUGUUAUAAGCUUGGAGUUCUUCUGUAAAAUAGAAAAAUCCCAUAUUUUAUAAAGCUACAGAAUAUUCAUUUCAUAUUUGAUUUAGAUUCUUUUUUAAAAAAAAGAAAUAUAUGAAAAUAAAAAAUGUAUUGAAAAACUAUUACCUAUUCA